rnacentral:rRNA from 1 species
GACGAACGCUGGCGGCGUGCCUAAUACAUGCAAGUCGAACGCUUUUUCUUUCACCGGAGCUUGCUCCACCGAAAGAAAAAGAGUGGCGAACGGGUGAGUAACACGUGGGUAACCUGCCCAUCAGAAGGGGAUAACACUUGGAAACAGGUGCUAAUACCGUAUAACACUAUUUUCCGCAUGGAAGAAAGUUGAAAGGCGCUUUUGCGUCACUGAUGGAUGGACCCGCGGUGCAUUAGCUAGUUGGUGAGGUAACGGCUCACCAAGGCAACGAUGCAUAGCCGACCUGAGAGGGUGAUCGGCCACACUGGGACUGAGACACGGCCCAGACUCCUACGGGAGGCAGCAGUAGGGAAUCUUCGGCAAUGGACGAAAGUCUGACCGAGCAACGCCGCGUGAGUGAAGAAGGUUUUCGGAUCGUAAAACUCUGUUCUUAGAGAAGAACAAGGAUGAGAGU